rnacentral:rRNA from 1 species
UACAGAGGGGGCAAGCGUUGUUCGGAAUUACUGGGCGUAAAGGGCGCGUAGGCGGCCUGCUAAGUCGAACGUGAAAUCCCUGGGCUCAACCCAGGGACUGCGUCCGAUACUGGUUGGCUUGAAUCCGGGAGAGGGAUGUGGAAUUCCAGGUGUAGCGGUGAAAUGCGUAGAUAUCUGGAGGAACACCGGUGGCGAAGGCGACAUCCUGGACCGGUAUUGACGCUGAGGCGCGAAAGCCAGGGGAGCAAACGGG